AUUGAACGCUGGCGGCAGGCUUAACACAUGCAAGUCGAGCGAGCGGCGGACGGGUGAGUCAUGUCUGGAAACUUGCCCGUUGGAGGGGGAUAAAUCCUGGAAACGGUAGCUAAUACCGCAUACCUUCAGAUGUGCAUAGAGGGGAUUAGCUAGUAGGUGGGGUAAUGGCAAACCUGGGCGACGAUCCCUAGCUGGUCGGAGAGGAUGAACCGCCACACUGGAACUGAGACACGGUCCAGACUCCUACGUGAGGCAGCAGUGGGGAAUAUGGCACAAUGGGCGCAAGCCUGAUGCAGCCAUGCCGCGUGUGUGAAGAAGGCCUUCGGGUUGUAAAGCACUUUCAGCGAGGAGGCGUUACUCGCAGAGGAAGCACCGGCUAACUCCGUGCCAGCAGCCGCGGUAAUUC
rnacentral:rRNA from 1 species